rnacentral:rRNA from 1 species
UUUAUCGGAGAGUUUGAUCCUGGCUCAGGAUGAACGCUGGCGGCGUGCCUAAUACAUGCAAGUCGUGCGGGGGGAGAUCCUUCGGGAUCGGACCCAGCGGCGAACGGGUGAGUAACACGUGGGCAACCU